rnacentral:rRNA from 1 species
UGCUAGUAAUCGCGGAUCAGCAUGCCGCGGUGAAUACGUUCCCGGGCCUUGUACACACCGCCCGUCACACCAUGGGAGUCGGUAACACCCGAAGCCGAUAGUCUAACAGCAAUGGGGCGCGGCCGAAGGUGGGUUCGAUAAUUGGGUGAAGUCGUAACAAGGUAUC